CCUACGGGUGGCUGCAGUAAGGAAUAUUGGUCAAUGGACGAAAGUCUGAACCAGCCAUGCCGCGUGGAGGAUGAAGGUCCUCUGGAUUGUAAACUUCUUUUAUAUGGGACGAAAAAAGGCCUUUCUAGGCCGUCUGACGGUACCAUAUGAAUAAGCAACGGCUAACUCCGUGCCAGCAGCCGCGGUAAUACGGAGGGUGCAGGCGUUACUGGGUUUCACUGGGGUGAAGGUGUGUGUAGGUGGGUGGAGUGAAAUCUCCGAGCUUAACUUGGAAACUGCCAUUGAUACUAUUAAUCUUGAAUAUUGUGGAGGUUAGCGGAAUAUGUCAUGUAGCGGUGAAAUGCUUAGAUAUGACAUAGAACACCAAUUGCGAAGGCAGCUGGCUACACAUAUAUUGACACUGAGGCACGAAAGCGUGGGGAUCAAACAGGAUUAGAUACCCCGGUAGUC
rnacentral:rRNA from 1 species